GGGUCAANUCGGAGGAAGGUGGGGAUGACGUCAAGUCAUCAUGCCCCUUAUGUCCAGGGUUUCACACAUGCUACAAUGGCCGGUACAAAGGGCUGNGAUGCCGUGAGGCUUAGUGAAUCCUUGAAAGCCGGUCUCAGUUCGGAUCGGGGUCUGCAANUCGACCCCGUGAAGUCGGAGUCGCUAGUAAUCGCAGAUCAGCAACGCUGCGGUGAAUACGUUUCCCGGGCCUUGUACACACCGCCCGUCACGUCAUGAAAGUCGGUAA
rnacentral:rRNA from 1 species